CCUACGGGAGGCAGCAGUGGGGAAUAUUGCACAAUGGGGGAAACCCUGAUCCAGCGACGCCGCGUGAGUGAAGAAGUAUCUCGGUACGUAAAGCUCUAUCAGCAGGGAAGAAAAAGACGGUAACUGACUAAGAAGCCCCGGCUAACAACUUCCCAGCAGCCGCGGUAAUACGUAGGGGGCACGAGUUAUCCGGAUUUACUGGGUGUAAAGGGAGCGUAGACGGUGCUGCAAGUCCGGAGUGAAAGCCCAUGGCUUAACCAUGGUACUGCUCUGGAAACUGUGGAACUUGAGUGCGGGAGGGGCAGGCGGAAUUCCUAGUGUAGCGGUGAAAUGCGUAGAUAUUAGGAGGAACACCGGCGGCGAAGGCGGCCUGCUGGACCGUAACUGACGUUGAGGCUCGAAAGCGUGGGGAGCAAACAGGAUUAGAUACCCUAGUAGUC
rnacentral:rRNA from 1 species